rnacentral:rRNA from 1 species
GACGAACGCUGGUGGCGUGCCUAAUACAUGCAAGUAGAACGCAGUUGCGAACGGGUGAGUAACGCGUAGGUAACUGCCCCAUAGCGGGGGAUAACUCUUGGAAACGAUAGCUAAUACCGCAUACUGUGAGCUGGACAUGGGUUGGAUUAGCUAGUUGGUGAGGGAAAGGCUCACCAAGGGGAAGGUACAUAACCGACCUGAGAGGGUGGUCGGCCAACCUUGGACUGGGGCACGGGCCAGAAUCCUACGGGAGGGAGCAGUAGGGAAUCUUCGGCAAUGGGCGGAAAUCUGGCCGAGGCACGCCGCGUGGUAGAAGAAGGUUCUCCGGGUGUAAAGCUCUGUUGUUAGAGAAGCGGUACCUAAAGAAAAAGGGACGGCUAACUACGUGCCAGCAGCCGCGGUAAUAC